GCGCGGUUAGCUCAGCUGGAUAGAGCGUUGGUCUCCGAAGCCGAAGGUCGCAGGUUCGACUCCUGCACCGCGCG
rnacentral:tRNA from 2 species